CGGGUACUGCCGAUCGCGUGAGAAAUCAUGACCCUGGGGCCAAUAAAGAGAACCUAGGGAGCUGUCCCUGGCCGGAACCCUGGUUCCGGACACACGGUGCCCACCUGACUUUGUCAGGCCACAGAGGUUCAUUUCAUUUCCACGGCUCUGGUGGUCCCGCC
rnacentral:other from 2 species